rnacentral:rRNA from 1 species
GACGAACGCUGGCGGCGUGCUUAACACAUGCAAGUCGAACGGAAGGGCCCUGCUUGCAGGGUACUCGAGUGGCGAACGGGUGAGUAACACGUGGGUGAUCUGCCCUGCACUUCGGGAUAAGCCUGGGAAACUGGGUCUAAUACCGGAUAGGAGCCAUUUUUAGUGUGAUGGUUGGAAAGUUUUUUCGGUGUAGGAUGAGCUCGCGGCCUAUCAGCUUGUUGGUGGGGUAAUGGCCUACCAAGGCGGCGACGUGUAGCCGGCCUGAGAGGGUGGACGGCCACACUGGGACUGAGAUGCGGCCCAGACUCCUACGGGAGGGAGAAGGGGGGAAGAUUGAACAAUGGGCGCAAGCCUGAUGCAGCGACGCCGCGGGGGGGAUGACGGCCUUAGGGUUGUAAACUCCUUUCGCUAGGGACGAAGCUUUUUGUGACGGUACCUAGAUAAGAAGCACCGGCUAACUACGUG